AUUGAACGCUGGCGGCAUGCUUUACACAUGCAAGUCGAACGGUAACAGGCCGCAAGGUGCUGACGAGUGGCGAACGGGUGAGUAAUGCAUCGGAACGUGCCCAGUCGUGGGGGAUAACGCAGCGAAAGCUGUGCUAGUACCGCAUACGACCUAUGGAUGAAAGCGGGGGACCGUAAGGCCUCGCGCGAUUGGAGCGGCCGAUGUCAGAUUAGGUAGUUGGUGGGGUAAAGGCCCACCAAGCCAACGAUCUGUAGCUGGUCUGAGAGGACGACCAGCCACACUGGGACUGAGACACGGCCCAGACUCCUACGGGAGGCAGCAGUGGGGAAUUUUGGACAAUGGGCGCAAGCCUGAUCCAGCAAUGCCGCGUGCAGGAAGAAGGCCUUCGGGUUGUAAACUGCUUUUGUACGGAACGAAACGGCUCUGGUUAAUACCCGGGGCUAAUGACGGUACCGUAAGAAUAAGCACCGGCUAACUACGUGCCAGCCGCCGCGGUAAGAC
rnacentral:rRNA from 1 species